UCUUGUUGUAGUAUAGAUGAA
rnacentral:piRNA from 1 species